UACGUAGGGUGCGAGCGUUUGUCCGGAAUUACUGGGCGUAAAGAGCUCGUAGGCGGUUUGUCGCGUCUGCUGUGAAAACCCGAGGCUCAACCUCGGGCCUGCAGUGGGUACGGGCAGACUAGAGUGCGGUAGGGGAGAUUGGAAUUCCUGGUGUAGCGGUGAAAUGCGCAGAUAUCAGGAGGAACACCGGUGGCGAAGGCGGGUCUCUGGGCAACAACUGACGCUGAGGAGCGAAAGCGUGGGGAGCGAACAGG
rnacentral:rRNA from 1 species